UCCUGGUUGGCUCAGUUGGUAGAGCGCUCCACUGGAAAUGGAGAGGUCCCUGGUUGGAAACCAGGACCAGGCA
rfam:Ixodes scapularis strain Wikel colony gcontig_1108379626190, whole genome shotgun sequence.